rnacentral:rRNA from 1 species
GACGAACGCUGGCGGCGUGCCUAAUACAUGCAAGUCGAGCGGACGUUGUUGGAGCUUGCUCCAACAAUGUUAGCGGCGGACGGGUGAGUAACACGUGGGCAACCUGCCUUAACGACUGGGAUAACUCCGGGAAACCGGGGCUAAUACCGGAUAACAUCUAGCACCUCCUGGUGCAAGAUUAAAAGAGGGCCUCUGGCUCUCACGUUAAGAUGGGCCCGCGGCGCAUUAGCUAGUUGGAGAGGGAAUGGCUCCCCAAGGCGACGAUGCGUAGCCGACCUGAGAGGGUGAUCGGCCACACUGGGACUGAGACACGGCCCAGACUCCUACGGGAGGCAGCAGUAGGGAAUCUUCCGCAAUGGACGAAAGUCUGACGGAGCAACGCCGCGUGAGUGAAGAAGGGUUUCGGCUCGUAAAGCUCUGUUAUGAGGGAAGAACACGUACCGUUCGAAUAGGGCGGUACCUUGACGGUACCUCAUCAGAAAGCCACGGCUAACUACGUGCCAGCAGCCGCCGUAAUAC